rnacentral:rRNA from 1 species
ACCUACGGGACGCAGCAGUGGGGGAUAUUGCACAAUGGGGGGAACCUUGAUGCAGCGACGCCGCGUGGGUGAAGAAGCGCCUCGGCGCGUAAAGCCCUGUCAGCAGGGAAGAAAAUGACGGUACCUGAAGAAGAAGCCCCGGCUAACUACGUGCCAGCAGCCGCGGUAAUACGUAGGGGGCAAGCGUUAUCCGGAUUUACUGGGUGCAAAGGGAGCGUAGGCGGUAAGGCAAGUCUGAUGUGAAAGGCCAGGGCUCAACCCUGGGACUGCAUUGGAAACUGUUUAACUGGAGUGUCGGAGAGGCA